GGAUCAGUGGCUGACUCCGCACCAACUGGAGAUCGGCAAAGUGGUUUGUGACAACGGAAGAAAUUUGUUGGCGGCAUUGCAUUUGGGCAAGUUGACACAUGUGCCGUGCAUGGCACAUGUGUGUAAUCUGAUCGUACAACGCUUUGUGCAUAAGUACCCAGGCUUACAGGACGUCCUGAAGCAGACCAGGAAGGUGUGUGGCCAUUUCAGGCGUUCGUACACGGCCAUGGCGCACUUUUCAGAUAUCCAGCGGUGAAAAAUCAUGCCAGUGAGGCGCUUGAUUUGCGACAGUCCGACACGUUGGAAUUCAACACUCCUAAUGUUCGACCGCCUGCUCCAACAAGAAAAAGCCGUUAACGAGUAUUUGUAUGACCAGGGUGCUAGGACAGCCUCUGCGGAGCUGGGAAUUUUUUUGCCACGUUACUGGACGCUCAUGUGCAAUGCCUGUAGGCUCAUGCGUCCUUUUGAGGAGGUGACAAACCUAGUCAGUCGCACCGAAGGCGCCAUCAGCGACAUCAUACCAUUUGUUUUCUACCUGGAGUAUGCCCUGCGAAGAGUGCUGGAUCAGGCCGUAGAUGAGCGUGAAGAGGAAGAGUUGUGGUCACCAUCACCACCAGAAACAGCCUUAUCAGCAUCGCUUGCUGGACCUGCGGCAACGCUGGAAGUGGAUAGUGAGGAAGAGGAGUCAGAGGAGGAAUGUGGCUUUGAGGAGGAUUUGGAAGACCAACCACAACAGGCAUCCCAGGGUGCUCGCUGUCACCUAUCUUCUCUCCAAAAAGCACACUCCUGCCGGAAGUGGUUCAAAACUGCAAACCAAGUUGUUUGGGAACCACACGGUCACCUCAUGCCGAAAACAGUUUCAGAACAUUCGUGGAUAAGUCCCGCUGAGGAACCCACAAAGUCCUCAUGCUGACAUUAGUUCUAUAGUGGUCGUGGCUAAGUACUGCUGAGGACUAUUCGUAGGUUUGGCAAGAAGGGAAAGCUGCUAAUGGCGGCUGGGUAACUCCCAAAGGUUACCUGGACCAUACUCCUCCGGGAGUCCGUGCCAAACGUACGUGGGAAGGAGCGUUUGUCACAUAUCUUCCCCCUCCCAGGGAGACUAACUAGACCCCAGACCUCCAAUUGGUCUGGGUCUGUGUAAGUCUGGUGACCCUUCCCAAAAGGUUCAGUUAUCCAUAGCUCCCGUUUGUAAAUCCAGGAUCCUGCUGGGAUGGGAAACUGCUGCACUUGUGGACUAAGUUGUCGCUGGGGAUGGAGGGCACAAUUCUCCUCUCUAGGGGAUAACUCCUGAUGCUGGGGAGUGAGACCGGGUGUCUCCACUCCCUGGAACACUCUCUGCCACAGUAUAAUGGCACUUUCUGCUGGAUUACGAGGCUAGUUGCGUCUUGCUGAACUUUGGACUUCCUCCUAAUUUGGGCUAGCCACAUCCGAUCUGGUCGCUUUUUUGACAGAAUGGGCGCUCCAAAGUGACCUUUUGGGGAUAUAUAACAUGGGGGUGCUCCGUUAUAUUUUUUAUGUUUUGGGGUGUUUUUGUAUUGCACGUUCUGUGUCCAGGAGGUUAUUAGUUUACCGAGAGCUAACUCUAUAUUAUCUUCACGCCACAGAGGUGCCUGGGCGGGCUUGUGUUAGUUUGAAUGAUGGGGGUCUGUGUAUAAGUUCCUGUGCUUUGUCUCAAUUCAGUUUAUUUUCACCCUUCACGAAGUCUAGCUAGUGUUUGGGUGAGACAGCGCUACAUUCUGUAGGAGAGCUUAAUUACUCUGAUGUCGUAUAGAUCACUAAUCAACACAAAGGGAUGGGACAAGCUAGGCGGUAGUAACCUAGCUACUUGUGGGUAUACUGCCACAACACCCAAGUACCAUUUGGGUGUAGCUUGCUAGUAUGUACAAUUGAAGAGUCAUUAUUGGCAAUACAGAGAGUAAUCAAAUCAGGGCAAAUAACCCUACAUGGCAAUUUAGGUCUGGC